AUCUUUUCUUGUGUUAGAAUCCUCCAGCACGGUCUCUUGCUUGUCAGGAUGUUGAUGUUAAGUGUGCGCGAUGCUCGCGUGGAUAACAACACCUUCGUUCACAGUGUGAGGUGGGAAUUGCUCACUCAGCUCUCCUGUUACAGGUAAUAAAUUUCCUCUUGGUAUUCGUGUUACUCCUAGCGACACAUCGAGACCUGUCUGCUGAUUGAAGCUGUGCACAACGAUAGUAGUAAUAAUAGUAAUAAUAAUAAAUAUUGAUUUUUUUGUUCUGCUGGUUUUAGUAUUAAAGGAAGAGGGAUUUCUAGAGAGAUGGUAAAAAAAAAACCAAACCAACAACAAACAUUCUGAUGACAUUUAGGUCAUCAGAAUCUGUUUUAUCACAUUUUUCUGUGAUAUUUCGACCUUGAGAGAUGGAAAUAAUUGCAGCUGGACAGUGUGGAAGGCUUGAGGGAGGUUUUUUUCAGAUAAGGGAGUCAGGCAGAAUGUCAGAAAAAAGGGAGCUAAGGUAAAGAAAGGGGGUCCAUUGGGAAAGUGAUGGUCUGGUUUGUCCUGGGGUCUGUGACUCAGGUGCAGGACCUUACACUUGGCCUUGUUCAGUUUCAUGAGGUUUGAUCCCACUCCUCCACACUGUCCUGGUCCCUUUGGUUGUCAUUCUUUACCUGUAGUAUAAAUCAUCCUCCAGUUCUGGGUUUUUCUUGGAUAUAGAGUUCCUUAUUACAAACUUGGAAUAGGCACAUCUAUCCCAGCAAAGCCAGGGGUCGUCUUUCACCUCUAAGAUUAUUUGACAUCAAAAGUGAAAUCGGGCAAAGCUGAGAGUCUGGUGGUCCGUGAUCACCACAGGCUGGGCAUGUCCAGGCCUGUGAUCCCCAUGGAUUGGGGGUGUCCAGCCCACCUUCCCAUACAGCUGCUGCCUGGGAAGAAUCUGUGGCGCUGGAUCAUACCCAGCCAGGGCCCUUCUGGUACCAAGCAGAUGGUCCCUCCUCCACCAUGGUGGGACACUUUAAAUGGCUGUGUUGUCCUGGGAAGUUUCCUACUCUGAUCUCCCCAUGAGUGUGCACUUCUGGGACUUUGAAAUUCCCACUGAGUCAAACCUCUGUAGUCGCUAAAGGAGGAGCCAAGGUUUCCUCUCCACCUGAGAUGCCAGGUGCAGUGUGACUCAGACUGUUCCUCCACCCCGAGCCCCAGUGCUCCCGUUCUUCCCUACUUUCUGAUUGCUCACUAUGGCUGGGGUGGGAGCUCUCUCUCCAGUUGGAGCUGUCUUUUGUUCCAAGGUAAGUUCUCCCGGUGGGAAGAGGCUGUGAGACCACUGGUGAAACCUCUUCCAAGAGCACUUGCUCCUGGGCUCAGCGUCCUGCUCUCCCCCAGCUUAGGGUCUGCUCUUAAAUGAAGGUGGAGCCACAAGAUGCAGCUUCUUGGUACAGAUUUUGACAGAUAUAGAUAUAUAUAUAUAUAUAUAUAUGUAUAAAAACAUUGCUAGCAUCUGCAAUUUAAAAUGUCUCUUACGUCACUGUACAUAUCACAUGCUGGGUAAAGGGUGUCUCAGCCUUUUGGGGUCACCUUGAGGAGGUCUCUGCUCAAGGGACACCCCACUCUGGUGCUGCACAGGUGGGCUCAGGGGGCUGCAGGUAUUUGUAGUGCUAAGAGAUGGACCUGUAGGCAAACCUCCUUUGCUGUACAUGCAGGUGUGCAGCUGUAGCAGUCUUGGUUUGGUCUGUCCCAGCUCAGGCUGGGACUUCUUGGCUCCAGAGUAUUUAAGGUUGAGCAGAAUUCCUUGUGGUUUGCACAGCAAGUCUGACUUGCCUCGUCACAAGAGCAGAAGGAAGAUGGAAGAG